rnacentral:rRNA from 1 species
GAUGAACGCUAGCGGGAGGCCUAACACAUGCAAGCCGAGCGGUAGAAGAUCUUCGGAUCUUUGAGAGCGGCGCACGGGUGCGGAACACGUGUGCAACCUACCUUUAUCAGGGGGAUAGCCUUUCGAAAGGAAGAUUAAUACCCCAUAAUAUAUUAAGUGGCAUCAUUUGAUAUUGAAAACUCCGGUGGAUAGAGAUGGGCACGCGCAAGAUUAGAUAGUUGGUGAGGUAACGGCUCACCAAGUCAAUGAUCUUUAGGGGGCCUGAGAGGGUGAUCCCCCACACUGGUACUGAGACACGGACCAGACUCCUACGGGAGGCAGCAGUGAGGAAUAUUGGACAAUGGGUGAGAGCCUGAUCCAGCCAUCCCGCGUGAAGGACGACUGCCCUAUGGGUUGUAAACUUCUUUUGUAUAGGGAUAAACCCAGAUACGUGUAUCUGGCUGAAGGUACUAUACGAAUAAGCACCGGCUAACUCCGUGCCAGCAGCCGCGGUAAUACGGAGGGUGCAAGCGUUAUCCGGAUUUAUUGGGUUUAAAGGGUCCGUAGGCGGACUCGUAAGUCAGUGGUGAAAUCUCAUAGCUUAACUAUGAAACUGCCAUUGAUACUGCGGGUCUUGAGUAAGGUAGAGGUAGCUGGAAUAAGUAGUGUAGCGGUGAAAUGCAUAGAUAUUACUUAGAACACCAAUUGCGAAGGCAGGUUACCAUGUCUUAACUGACGCUGAUGGACGAAAGCGUGGGGAGCGAACAGGAUUAGAUACCCUGGUAGUCCACGCCGUAAACGAUGCUAACUCGUUUUUGGGUUUUCGGAUUCAGAGACUAAGCGAAAGUGAUAAGUUAGCCACCUGGGGAGUACGAACGCAAGUUUGAAACUCAAAGGAAUUGACGGGGGCCCGCACAAGCGGUGGAUUAUGUGGUUUAAUUCGAUGAUACGCGAGGAACCUUACCAAGGCUUAAAUGGGAAUUGACAGGUUUAGAAAUAGACUUUUCUUCGGACAAUUUUCAAGGUGCUGCAUGGUUGUCGUCAGCUCGUGCCGUGAGGUGUUAGGUUAAGUCCUGCAACGAGCGCAACCCCUGUCACUAGUUGCUAGCAUUAAGUUGAGG